CCCCUGACUCUGGGAUAAGCCUUGGAAACGAGGUCUAAUACCGGAUACUGACGCUCAGGCAUCUGAUGCGUCUGGAAAGAUUUAUCGGUCAGGGAUGGACUCGCGGCCUAUCAGCUUGUGGUGGGGUAACGGCCCACCAAGGGACACGGGUAGCCGGCCUGAGAGGGCGACCGGCCCACUGGGACUGAGACACGGCCCAACUCCUACGGAGGCAGCAGUGGGGAAUAUUGCACAAUGGGCGCAAGCCUGAUGCAGCGACGCCGCGUGAGGGAUGAAGGCCUUCGGUUGUAAACCUCUUUCAGCAGGGAAGAAGCGCAAGUGACGGUACCUGCAGAAGAAGCGCCGGCUAACUACGUGCCAGCAGCCGCGGUAAUACGUAGGGCGCAAGCGUUGUCCGGAAUUAUUGGGCGUAAAGAGCUCGUAGGCGGUUUGUCGCGUCUGCUGUGAAAACUCGAGGCUCAACCUCGGGCUUGCAGUGGGUACGGGCAGACUAGAGUGCGGUAGGGGAGACUGGAAUUCCUGGUGUAGCGGUGGAAUGCGCAGAUAUCAGGAGGAACACCGAUGGCGAAGGCAGGUCUCUGGGCCGCAACUGACGCUGAGGAGCGAAAGCAUGGGGAGCGAACAGGAUUAGAUACCCUGGUAGUCCAUGCCGUAAACGUUGGGCACUAGGUGUGGGGCUCAUUCCAC
rnacentral:rRNA from 1 species